rnacentral:rRNA from 1 species
UACAGAGGUGUCAAGCGUUGCUCGGUGUCACUGGGCUUAAAGGGCGCGUAGGCUGUGCAGUACGGCUCGGGUGAAAUCCCUCGGCCCAACCGAGGAACUGCCCGGGCGACGGCUGCGCUGGACUGCAUCAGGGGCGGAUGGAACUCCCGGUGGAGCGGUGAAAUGCGUAGAGAUCCGUAGGAACACCAAUGGCGAAGGCAGCUUGCUGGGCCGUAUCUGACGCUAAGGCACGGAAAGCGAUGGGAGGCGAACGAGG